GACGGAGGAGGCUAGCGUUGUCCGGAAUCAUUGGGCGUAAAGGGUGCGUAGGCGGCGGGGUAAGUCAGGUGUGAAAUCUCGGGGCUCAACCCCGAAACUGCACUUGAUACUGCUUUGCUUGAGUACUGGAGAGGAGACUGGAAUUUACGGUGUAGCAGUGAAAUGCGUAGAUAUCGUAAGGAAGACCAGUGGCGAAGGCGGGUCUCUGGACAGUUCCUGACACUGAGGCACGAAGGCCAGGGGAGCAAACGGG
rnacentral:rRNA from 1 species